CACCGUUCCCGGGACGGGGAAGAGGAGGUUCACAUUUCACUCCUGGAAGGAGAAAAUGGAAAAUGUUCUACCGGGAGGCACGAAUCACUCUGGCACAUGCGGUGGUAGCUGCAGCAGGAACGAAUUCAGCCCAUGACAUUUGAGUAGAUUGCUGGUGAGACAGCAGCCACUGCUCCCAGGCCCGACAACAGGGGCAGCACCAAAGCUGGUCAGUGUUUCCUCCUUACAGGUCUGAAGGUGCUGCAGAGGAGGGUGCUUCCCAGAGAUCACCCCUGUGACAGACAGAUCGAUUGAAGGACCCCUGAAUGGCUGAAUUGAGAAGAACAAGCAUAUUAGGAGGCCAUACAAUGGGAGCCUCUCAGGCAGACAGACAAAGCCGUGGAAACUGCAGACUUAUUUGUAUGUUCUGGUAAACACCUUUGCUUCAUUUUCCCCGUCUCCGCCUGGACUGAGGGUCACCUCACCUCUCCUGGUGUCCAGAGCCUCCUUCAGGACAGAUGUUGCAAACCUGAGUUCUCACAAACAGCGGGGUCCAGCCCUUCUCAACACUGGAAAGCCCUUGAGCCAUCUUUGAUUUGUGUGUUUUGAUCUAAUUGCACUACUGCUUGCAAUGCUUGUUUUUAGCGGUGAGUGCUGGUUUAAUUUGUUUCUUUCUGGUCUCCCAGCCCCACUCCAGAAUUUUGGCUCCUGGAGAGGAGGGGCCCUGAACUGGCAUUUUCAGUGAAGCAUCCCAGUGCCUUGAAUCCAGUAAGCAGCCAGGUGUCUGUUGGCUUCAUGGUUUAACAACCUACCAUUUGAAGAAUCGCAGAGAUGAAUUAAAAAGAGCCCCGGAGAGGCUCCCCGAUCCAGUUGCACUUCCUGCUUAAGCAAAGUAAAGAAAAACAGGAAUGAAAACAUAACCCAAUGGGUUAGUUCCAUGCUGGCCAUUGAUGAGGUUGCAGCCACCAUCAGAAGAAGGCCAAACGGUUAGAAAGACACGGCGGUGAGGAAGAUGAGCCUCAUUAUCGACUGUCACCUGCAGCCCUGCACAGGUGCUCAGAAUCUAACACUUGAUGGCUGGUUGAGAUUCCCGGAGUCCUAAUUAGGAAUGAGGAGUCAGGCUGGCAGGACCCAGGGAAAGCAAAAAGAGAAGGCAGAGAAGCUCCAAGUCUGCCUGUCUUCGUGAUCCAGAACACGUAGUCCUGCUGCACAAGUAACUCACAAUCUUCCUGUGUCCAGCUGUCAUUAGACCCUUGGCUGAUAGAAAAAUGCAAGUUAGCACACUGCAGCCUCGGUGUCGUCAGUACUGCACGUCACUCUCUCCAGCACACCGCGGCCUCGGCGUCAUCAGCACUGCACGUCGCUCUCUCCAGCACACCGCGGCCUCGGCGUCGUCAGCACUGCACGUCGCUCUCUCCAGCACACCGCGGCCUCAGCGUCAUCAGCACUGCACGUCGCUCUCUCCAGCACACCGCGGCCUCGGCGUCGUCAGCACUGCACGUCGCUCUCUCCAGCACACCGCGGCCUCGGUGUUGUCAGUACUGCACGUCGCUCUCUCCAGCACACAGCACAAGCACCAUCCUAUCAAGUCCCCAGCAAGCCUUUGUCUCCUUGCAGUCAGCUCCUCUCUUGCUGGCCUGCCUGUUGCCUCCUUGCUGUGUAUUUUCCUACUUUCUCUAAUUUGCCUUUUUUUUUUAUUUUUGAGAUGAAAUUUUGCCUCAGCCUCCCAAGUAGCUGGGACUACAGGUGCGUUUCACCACGUCCAUCUAAUUUUUGUAUUUUUCGUAGAGACGGGUUUUCACCAUGUUGGCCAGGAUGGCCUUACCUCAAGGACCUCCUGAUCCGCCUGCCUCGGCCUCCCAAAGUGUUGGGAUUACAGGCAUGAGCCACUGCACCUGGCCUAAAUCUGCCUUUCUUAACCUACAAUUGUCUUUACCCUGAGCCGCUGGCCCCAGAUAGUCGCUGCUCACCCAUGACAAUAUUUCACCACUGAGAUCAUUUAUCCUCAAAAAAAUGAGUAGAAUGGCCACGGAAUUGUGUGCAAAGAAUGAAGGAGCAAAACAGUCUUGGAGUCUUAGGAGCAAAACAUCUGCAUUACUAAUAUCCUCCCAAGUCCACCAAGCCUCAGCUAGGAACGGUUCCCCACUUGUGAAGUGUCUGAUAAGUUCUAGUUUCCUUCCUUCCUUUCUUCCUUCCUUCCUUCCUCUCUCUCUUCUUUCUUUCUCUUUCUCUCUUUCUUUUCUUUCUCUUUACCUUUCUUUCUUUCCUUUCUUUCUAUCUUUCUUCUCUCAAUCUUUCUUUCUCUCUCUCUCUUUUUGACAGUCUCACUCUGUUGUUCAGGCUGGAGUACAGUGGCACAAUCUCAGCUCACUGCAACCUCUGCGUCCCAGGUUCAAGCAAUUCUCCUGCCUCAGCCUCCUGAGUAGCUGGGAUUACAGGCUCUCGCCACUACAUCCAGCUGAUUUUUGUAUUUUUAGUAGAGGUGGGGGUUUCCCCAAGUUGGCCAGGCUGGUCUCGAACUCCUGACCUCAGGUAAUCCGCCCACCUCAGCCUCCCAAAGUGCUUGGAUUACAAGCGUGGACCACCACACCUGGCUCAUUGAUUCAUUUAUUCAUCUGAUAGGUAUUUAUUGAACAUAAAGUGCCACAGACCGGGUGGCUUAAAUGACAGAGAUUUAUUUUCUAACAGUUCUGGAAGCCGGAAGUCUGAGAUCAAGGUGCCGGCAGGACUGCUUCCUCCAAGCCCUCUCUUUUUGGCUUGUAAGAGCUGUCUUCUCUCUGUGUCCUCACAAGGUCGCCCUCCGUGCGUGUCUGUGUCCUCAUCUCCUCUUAUUACGGAGACACCAGUCCUACUGGAUUAGCUCCCAUGCUGGUGACCUCAUUCUACCUUAAUUACCUCCAUAAAUGCCCUAUCUCCAAACACAGUCACAUUAUGACAUCCUGGGGGUUGGACUUCGACGUGUGAGUUUGGGGGGAUGCAACCCAGCCCACAAUAAACAGCAAAUACGAUUAGAGCUUCUCACAGAUACAAAGCCAUUGUCGUGCAGCUCAUGCCCUCCUCGGGGGAAGAAGCCAGUAAGUCACAGAGAUCAGUAACGCAGGUGGGGACGAAGGUGUAGAGGAGAGCCAGGCACGGAGGCCUGUUGGAGUGCGGGUGCUUUGCAAUUUUAGAAGCCGAGGUCUAGGGGAGGCCGGACUUGAAAGACGACGUCUGGGCCAAGUGCAGAGAAAGGUGGCGGAUGAGCUGGAAGGAAGCCUGGGAGAAGGCACUUUGGGCGUAGGGUUUUGAGACACAGCUGUGUUUUGC
rnacentral:lncRNA from 1 species